rnacentral:rRNA from 1 species
UACGGAGGGUGCAAGCGUUAUCCGGAUUCACUGGGUUUAAAGGGUGCGUAGGUGGGAAUGUAAGUCAGUGGUGAAAUCUCCGUGCUUAACAUGGAAACUGCCAUUGAUACUAUGUUUCUUGAAUUUUUCUGGAGGUCAGCGGAAUAUGUCAUGUAGCGGUGAAAUGCUUAGAUAUGACAUAGAACACCAAAUUGCGAAGGCAGCUGGCUACAGGGAUAUUGACACUGAGGCACGAAAGCGUGGGGAUCAAACAGG